UCUUACACCUGUUCCCCAAGCCAAUUAGGAGCUAUAAGGAAGAUGAGAAAAGAAGAGGCAUUUUUCUGAGACCCACGUCACCUGUCAUUUUCACUAACAGGGUGUGUGGAUCUCUAGACUGCUUGCAGGGUAUGUCUGGGAGAGAAGCCUCUCUGUCAAUCUUGUUCUCACCAGAGAUCACCGAUGGAGGAGUGCAGUACAGCCCCAGUUUCCCAGGUACAAAAAGGGGACACAGUUGUGAAGCCAAAGCCCACCCACUACCACAGGUGAUGCCAAGGAGAAGCUGAAAGUGUCCUCAAGAGCAAAGGAGAGGGUGUCUCCCAGAAAACUACUCAUCUUCAGUGACCCCUCUGAGUGCCUCCUCCUCCGUCUUCCUGUACUCUCGCCCCCUGGGUGUGUACUGUCCUCUCUUAUAGUGCCUCACACUUAUCUCCAUGGCUCUAUGAAGCACUUGAUGAAGAAUAAAAGUUCACGUACUGAAAAAAAAGAAGAAAUCUCUCUCUGUUGGCAGCAAGAGCUCCUCUAAGCCUGCCCCUGCUCAUCUUGUACUUGCCCCAGUGCCCAGCGCCACGUCUGGUCCAAGUAGGAUCCCAACACAUACGAGAUGGAAGAAAGAUACCAGUCAUUCCAGAAAGAUGCUCAUUGCUGAAAAGGAGCUAAAGGUCAUGUGACAUGGCUCACUCUUCCAGCCUCUCAGGGCUCAGAGUCUGCCCUCUGAGCCCCAACUUCAACACCUCCCAUGGGAACUCUCCAAAGAAUGAACCAGGAAUGGAAACCAUAGAGCCCACGGCACCCCGGCACCUGAGACCCAGUGAGAAUCAACACUGCCUCUCCAGCCAACAUGCAAGGCUGCAGCCUGGACCCAGUGCCAGCAUCCCAAAUUCAGGCCCUCCAUUUGGGGAGUGGAUGGAGUAGGAGAGAAGGGCUGCAAGGACCCAGAUAGGCAGACAGAGGGACAGAGAGGGAACCAAAGACCCUACUUGCAAGGUAUCCCCAGAGGCAAAGGUAUCGUCCACUGGGGACAUGGGGACCUGGAGGCAGCACAAGGACAGCUUUUCUCUGGUCGUGGGAGCCCUCUUGCUUCCCACACCCUCAACUUACUCCCCAUUGCUGUCUGUCAUUGAUCCCCAGGUGGGGCAAGUGAGGGACCUGAGUCAGCAUGUGGCUGGCUGCUGGGAGAGGGAGCACCCGCUGAGUCACGGCUCCUCCCCUGGAGCCUCCAUGAGCCAUCUAGGCAGGUGUGCACUUCCCACUGGUGCAGGGCUGUGGGUACCUGCACCUGUCUGUCAACACUGAUUCUUUCUCAUACAACAGGCACUUGCCACCACUCUGCCCAGCCAGACUCUAUCAGACCACAGUGAGGGGAUGGAGUGGGCCCGCAUAGGUGCCUCCACCCGAGUCUAGGCACCCCAGGCUUGUGUCUGCUGGGACACACCUAGCAGGGAGGCUGAGAGCACCGGCUUCGGAGCCAGGCAGGUCAUAGUGUAAAGCCGGAUUCUUCCAUUUAUUUGGGGAAAGUUGCUUCCCCUCUCUGAACCUGUUUCCUCACCGUAAAUUCAGAUUCAUCCUUUAUUGAGCACCUACUAUGUGCCAGGCAUUGGGUUGAGUGCUGGGGAUAAAAUAAUGAGCAAGCCCUUAUUUUGAUGAGGUUGAGUGCUGGGGAUAAAGUAAUGAGCAAGCCCUUAUCUUGAUGAACAGUUAUGGGAUAAAAUAGACCUGCAAAAAUAAACAUGCAAUUCACAACUGAGGUGAGCAUGGUUGGUGGGGGAAUGGAGAGCACAUAAUAAA